rnacentral:tRNA from 1 species
GCCCAGAUGGCGGAACUGGUAGACGCGCUGCACUUAGAAUGCAGUUCCCCUGUGGUGUGCAGGUUCGAUUCCUGUUCUGGGCACAA